GGCCGCACGGCACAUCUGCCGACGCAAGGAGUUUCCCCUCCGUCACUCCUAUACCAAUGAUCUCCCAGAGCCAGAGGCGACCGAGGAAAUCCUUACCCACAUCGCCGCCUCCAGGGAAAACUCCCCUACAACGACACCACAGUCGUCCUCGGUGUUCUUCGGCUCGCCACCCCGUGGAACUUCUGCCAACGCCGUAGAAGCCGCGCCUGAGGAUGGAGCCGCCGCCGCAUCCGAGUUUGAUCCCUGGCCUCUUGGAUCCCUGUGAUCCCCGCGGCCACCCCCGCGGUGCCGCCUGCCCAGUACGACCCUCAGCGUCGUCGACCCACGCCCGCUGGAAACGAGGUCUGCUUCCUUCUUCUCCGUGCCCCUCAUAUUCCCCUGCCACCAAGGCUUUCGACCUCUCUCUCGAUUGGAUCCCCGUCGGUUCUCCUACAGUCAUGCCCUGCUCGACAGCGGACAAGGAUUUUAUCACGUUCAGAUUGAACUAUGCUGGACUUUUAUCCAAAUUUGCUGACUGGUUCUCCAUAAACGCAGAGUCUGCAGCUAUCAGCAAUCUAUAUAUUUUGCUUACUGGACUUUGUUUACGUUUCCUCUUUAGGAAAAGAAAGUAGAGGAUAUCUCUUUAUUAUACAUGAAUGAGUCCGGAGGCGAUCAGAUUCGAAUUCAUAUUAUGGUGCAUGCUCUGGAGCUUUUAGGUGCCUUCCGAUUUUUAGUCAGCUUUUGUGCUAUGCAUGGUCAUAACUGCAUCAGGGCUUGUGUUUUACUGUUUUUGUAGUUGAAUAAAUUGUAUGCUUUCCAAGCCAGAAGAUAUGAUUAUAUAUAGGAUACGUCUUCAAUUGUGUGCAUGCACUAUUAUUACAAGGUCAGGUAUGGAGAUAUCUUCAAUGAUGUUGACAUCAUCGUUUGUACAAUAUAUAUGAUCUGUCAUUUAGCAAACUGUGAUUGUUUCUGUGGAGGAGACGAGCCAUUCAGCUAGCCCAACAGUUCAGCUAGCAAUAGAGUGAUCGAUUCAGCAGCACCAGUAGCCCAAACAUUUCAGCUGGAAGGUUUGAUCAUGAUUUUUCUGAAUCCAAUUAGAUUUAGCUUAUUUCCAUGGUCCCUUUUCGUGCUUUUAACCGGGAGCAGGGUCAAGCUACGAGCUGCGUCAGGUGACGAGUUCUGGAGAGGCCCCGAGGGGGCGGAGUAUGGAACUGGUACACUUGGUGAACAUUACAGAAGAAGGUUUAGUUCGAUCUUAUUUCGGAUAGACAAGUUGUCUCAUUUAACCAGCAAUGACCAAUUGAUCUUCAAGCCAUUAUAGAGUAAUGAAUCUGAUUAAAGAGGAACCGGAGGACAUAAACAUUUCAAGUGAGAUUGAAGGGUACAUGUUGUACACGUGGAUGAACUAGGUGAUGUUGCUAUACUGCCAAGUACGCCGCUGGUGGGAUACAAAUGCCUUAUUGAGGAGCAGCUUGCAGCACAUGAUCGUCCAUGAUCAACCCAUACAAUGGUCAAUAAUUUUGGUUAGGGAGAAGUUAGGAAACUGUUUUUGUAGUACUGUAUAAUUUUGUCACCACAAGAGUUGUAAUUUUUUGUUUAAAUCAAAUUAAUUUGUUCUUUGCUUCGUGCUUCAUGUUGUGCUUCCACGGAUUUGUUUUUACGAAGCAAAUAUUUCCAUCAAAACUUGUAUUGAUAUAUCAAAAAUAUUAGCAUGUAUAAAUAAAUA